rnacentral:tRNA from 1 species
GGCCUCAUGGCCUAAUGGAUAAGGCGUCGGUCUCCGGAACCGAAGGUUGCGGGUUCGAAUCCCGCUGGGGUCA